CCUAACACAUGCAAGUCGAACGGUAACAGGAAGAAGCUUGCUUCUUUGCUGACGAGUGGCGGACGGGUGAGUAAUGUCUGGGAAACUGCCUGAUGGAGGGGGAUAACUACUGGAAACGGUAGCUAAUACCGCAUAACGUCGCAAGACCAAAGAGGGGGACCUUCGGGCCUCUUGCCAUCGGAUGUGCCCAGAUGGGAUUAGCUAGUAGGUGGGGUAACGGCUCACCUAGGCGACGAUCCCUAGCUGGUCUGAGAGGAUGACCAGCCACACUGGAACUGAGACACGGUCCAGACUCCUACGGGAGGCAGCAGUGGGGAAUAUUGCAC
rnacentral:rRNA from 1 species